AUUGAACGCUGGCGGCAUGCUUUACACAUGCAAGUCGAGCGGCAGCGCGGGGGGUAACCCCUGGCGGCGAGCGGCGGACGGGUGAGUAAUGCAUCGGAACGUAUCCCGUAGUGGGGGACAACCCAGCGAAAGCUGGGCUAAUACCGCAUAUGCUCUACGGAGGAAAGCAGGGGACCUGAGAGGGCCUUGUGCUAUGGGAGCGGCCGAUGUCCGAUUAGCUAGNGGUGGGGUAAAGGCUUACCAAGGCGACGAUCGGUAGCUGGUCUGAGAGGAUGAUCAGCCACACUGGGACUGAGACACGGCCCAGACUCCUACGGGAGGCAGCAGUGGGGAAUUUUGGACAAGUGGGGCAACCCUGAUCCAGCCAUGCCGCGUGCGGGAAGAAGGCCU
rnacentral:rRNA from 1 species